rnacentral:rRNA from 1 species
UACGGAGGAUGCAAGCGUUAUCCGGAUUUAUUGGGUUUAAAGGGUGCGCAGGUUGUUUGAUAAGUCAGUGGUGAAAGUCUGUCGCUUAACGGUAGGAUUGCCAUUGAUACUGUUAGACUUGAAUAUGGAUGAGGUAGGCGGAAUGUGUAGUGUAGCGGUGAAAUGCAUAGAUAUUACACAGAACACCGAUUGCGAAGGCAGCUUACUAAGCUAUAACUGACGCUGAGGCACGAAAGCGUGGGGAUCGAACAGGA